GCAAGUCGAGCGGACAGAUCCGGAGCUUGCUCCCUGAUGUUAGCGGCGGACGGGUGAGUAACACGUGGGUAACCUGCCUGUAAGACUGGGAUAACUCCGGGAAACCGGGGCUAAUACCGGAUGGUUGUUUGAACCGCAUGGUUCAGACAUAAAAGGUGGCUUCGGCUACCACUUACAGAUGGACCCGCGGCGCAUUAGCUAGUUGGUGAGGUAACGGCUCACCAAGGCAACGAUGCGUAGCCGACCUGAGAGGGUGAUCGGCCACACUGGGACUGAGACACGGCCCAGACUCCUACGGGAGGCAGCAGUAGGGAAUCUUCCGCAAUGGACGAAAGUCUGACGGAGCAACGCCGCGUGAGUGAUGAAGGUUUUCGGAUCGUAAAGCUCUGUUGUUAGGGAAGAACAAGUGCCGUUCAAAUAGGGCGGCACCUUGACGGUACCUAACCAGAAAGCCACGGCUAACUACGUGCCAGCAGCCGCGGUAAUACGUAGGUGGCAAGCGUUGUCCGGAAUUAUUGGGCGUAAAGGGCUCGCAGGCGGUUUCUUAAGUCUGAUGUGAAAGCCCCCGGCUCAACCGGGGAGGGUCAUUGGAAACUGGGGAACUUGAGUGCAGAAGAGGAGAGUGGAAUUCCACGUGUAGCGGUGAAAUGCGUAAUAGAUGUGGAGGAACACCAGUGGCGAAGGCGACUCUCUGGUCUGUAAUUGACGCUGAGGAGCGAAAGGCGUUGGGGAACGAACUGGAUGA
rnacentral:rRNA from 1 species